rnacentral:rRNA from 1 species
UACGAAGGGGGCGAGCGUUGUUCGGAAUUACUGGGCGUAAAGGGCGCGUAGGCGGCCUUCUAAGUCGAACGUGAAAUCCCCGGGCUCAACCCGGGAACUGCGUCCGAUACUGGAAGGCUUGAAUCCGGGAGAGGGAUGCGGAAUUCCAGGUGUAGCGGUGAAAUGCGUAGAUAUCUGGAGGAACACCGGUGGCGAAGGCGGCAUCCUGGACCGGUACUGACGCUGAGACACGAAAGCGUGGGGAGCAAACAGG